rnacentral:rRNA from 1 species
UACGUAGGGUGCAAGCGUUAAUCGGAAUUACUGGGCGUAAAGCGUGCGCAGGCGGUUAUGUAAGACAGAGGUGAAAUCCCCGGGCUCAACCUGGGAACUGCCUUUGUGACUGCAUAGCUAGAGUACGGUAGAGGGGGAUGGAAUUCCGCGUGUAGCAGUGAAAUGCGUAGAUAUGCGGAGGAACACCGAUGGCGAAGGCAUCCCCUGGACCUGUACUGACGCUCAUGCACGAAAGGCGUGGGGAGCAAACGAGG